AGCCAAGGACCACUUCCAAGACUUCUUCUUAGCUUCCUGUUGUGUGAGAGGAAUGGCAUCCAUGCAGGCUGCGAAACCUGGGCUAAUAGCACAGCCCAAGCCAGGUGAGAGUUCACACAAGACCCAUGCUUCAAAGCAGGCCCCCAAAAAGGUUGAGCAAAAGCCCCGAGAGCCCAAGAGGAUGGCUAAGAGUGGCAAACCAGCAGCUAAGAAUUAAUGGCAGCAACUAGACUUGAGUUACCUCAGACUUGUCUUUUAUUUUCCUCUUUUUAUCACUUAGUGAUGUUUGUGCCCUGAACUCUUGGAGUUUGUUGGGUGUUGGACCUGGCCUAGUGAAAUAAAGGUAUUUACUAAAACAAAACUAGUAAUUGUGUGACCAUGCUAUGAUAAAAAAAACUGGUAAUUUAUUGCAGGGC